rnacentral:piRNA from 1 species
GGGACUGUUCAUUCUGCUUUCUUUUACAG